rnacentral:ncRNA from 1 species
GUAAACUCUAUGACGAAGAAGAGUAAGCUUGUGAUGCGCGCAACAGAGAGCCGGGAGGGUGAGAGCCGGUGCCGCAAAUCAGACUGAAUGGACUUCAGAGAGGCAGCAGGAAAUGGCUGCCCGGCUUCCGCCGUUACCAGGACCCAGACGGGAUAAAAUUUCCAUCUGGACGAAGAGGAAGCUUUAGAGCUUCAAUGCGAGGUGGCACCGCGGUCAAUCCGUCCUCCGC